rnacentral:rRNA from 1 species
AACGAACGCUGGCGGCAUGCCUAACACAUGCAAGUCGAACGAGAUCUUCGGGUCUAGUGGCGCACGGGUGCGUAACGCGUGGGAAUCUGCCCUUUGGCUCGGAAUAACAGUUGGAAACGACUGCUAAUACCGGAUGAUGACGAAAGUCCAAAGAUUUAUCGCCAGAGGAUGAGCCCGCGUAGGAUUAGCUAGUUGGUGUGGUAAGGGCGCACCAAGGCGACGAUCCUUAGCUGGUCUGAGAGGAUGAUCAGCCACACUGGGACUGAGACACGGCCCAGACUCCUACGGGAGGCAGCAGUGGGGAAUAUUGGACAAUGGGCGAAAGCCUGAUCCAGCAAUGCCGCGUGAGUGAUGAAGGCCUUAGGGUUGUAAAGCUCUUUUACCCGGGAUGAUAAUGACAGUACCGGGAGAAUAAGCUCCGGCUAACUCCGUGCCAGCAGCCGCCGCAG